rnacentral:lncRNA from 1 species
ACUUCUUCCAAACUGUUAAUGGUGACAUUCUGACCUCCUCCCAUGAAUCCUGAAUGGUCUUAACAGCAUCUAAAAUGGCUCAUCCUGUCCUUUCCCUGCUCCAGCUAUGGAAUCUACCAUAUCUCCAAAGAAUCCUGGAAGAGCCUCUCCUGAGACAAAAUCAUAUAUCAGAAAACUAAUAAGACAGGAAAUUUAAGUACACGUUGAAAGAAAAAGAUACUUUGUUACACGAAGCUGAAGUCAGUGAAACUUGUAACAAGGCAGGCUCAAACAGAGGUACCAACUACAGAUACUGUCUAAUUGUAAAUGAACUACCAAGCAACUGUUAAAGGAAAGAAGUACAGAAUCGUAUGGAUGCCAAAGAUUGCCAGCUAAUAAAAUGUCUUAAUUUGCUUGCUUCUUUAAAAAAUCCAACUUACCUUUGAAACUAUCAGCCUGUUGUUCAACAGACUCUCGUACCAUUUUCCAAAAGCAGUCUGAUACUGCAAGGCUUAAAUUUCUUGUAGUCACUUGGUGUGCCUUUAGCAUGCUUGUCCUAUUAAAAAAAAAUAACAAGAGCUAAAGUAUAUUAAAAUGACAAAAAGGACAACAAUACUACCACCAAGUCUGCGAAUGUGCUUGCUAACAGCCACUCUUACCUUUCAUACCAGUGCUGUUCAAUAAAAAUUUAUGUGAGGAGGAAAACAUUCCAAUACGGUAGCUACUGGCACACUGGGUUAUUGAGCCCUGGAAAUGUGUGGCUAGUGUAACUGAGGAACUGUAUUUUGAAUUUUGUUGAAUUUUAACUAAUUUAAAUUUAAUGUUAUAUUUUAUUUUAUUAUUUUUUUGAAUUGGAAUCUUGCACUGUCGUCCGGGCUGGAGUGCAGUGGCGUGAUAUUGGGUCACUACAACUUCCGCCCCCCACCCCCUCGGGGUUCAAGCGAUUCUCCCGCCUCAGCCUCCUGAGUAGCUGGGGUUACAGCUGCCCAUCGCCAUGCCCAGCUAAUUUUUUUUGUACUUUUAGUAGAGAUGGGGUUUCACCAUGUUGGACAGGCUGGUCUCAAACUCCUGGCCUCAAGUGAUCCGCCUGCCUUGGCCUCUCAAAGUACUGGGAUUACAGGUGUGAGCCACCAUGCCUUUAAAAAGAACAUGAAGAAAGCCAUCUUCCAGAAAUUAAUUUAAUUCCAACUAAUUUAAAUUUUAAUAACUACACAAAACUAGUGAUACCAUAUUAGACAGCACAGUUCUAUAUGUUGUCAGUGCACUCCCCAAAGCACGUAAGAUUAUGGUUUGCAAGAACUAUCUUGACUUACCGUACUAACCUAGGAACAAACAUACUUUUCUAUUUCCAGAAACUCAACAUAUAAAGUUUUAGUAUACAGUAAUACAACUGGCCUUUAGCUCUUUUUGCUUAUCUUAUCUCCUGUCAAUAUAUAUCUAGGGAUACUUCUUCGACAACCCCACUCCAAUCUUCCCCAAUACUGUAAGAGAAAUAUGUACACGUUUAAAAGUGAAAGCGUCGAUUUUCUAAAACCACUUUAUAAGUAAAAUAAAGUAAGAGGCAGAUAUCUAUGUUGUCUUUCAGUGCCCACGUCCAAGGAAGCAUGCCAGUAUGUAUUGUACCAUGUGAUAAACUGCUCUCAAUUCUGCCAAAAAGUAGCUAAGGACUUGUUUAUUAGAUACAGUUCACUAUUUGGGAAAAAUUCUAGAAAUCCGAUGUUAAACUAAUAGUUAUAAAACCUGAUGUUUUAAGUGAAAACAGUUCAAUUUAAGCUACUCUCUUACUGUAAAAUGUUUAAAUGUUUUAACAAGAUACCUACUUUAGGAGCUUUGAAUUCUGAAAAAACUCUUCUUCAUAUUCUCUUAUAGCUUCAAUGCUUUCAGAGCUGUUCCCUGGGGAAGAAUGAUGGUCAAAUUUUCAUCAAGAAAAUUACUCUUUAUUAUUUGAAAACAACAGAAACUAAAAAUAAGUUAUUAUAAUCCAUCUUUGCAUACCUUUUCCUGUUACAACAGCAAAAUAACCUAAAGCUUUCAUUGGGAAGAGCUUUCCUUCAAUUAUCUGCUGAAUCUAUUUUUAAAAGUGGGAAAAAUUAAUGUGAGAUAUAGUUUACAUAAGUUUUAAAAGCGUAAUAUACAAUUUAGAAAGCAAAAUAAUGCUAUACAUGUAUAUAGUUAAAUAAAUCUGCACAAAAGCAUUUAAAAUGUUUUUCCAUUGCUAUUUGAAAAAAAUACAUUUAAUUUUACUACAUUGAAAAUGUAUUAUUAAAACACACGUAUCGAAAACCCGGAAUGAUGUGUAGUUCUUUAAAGUCAGACAGACCUUAGUUUGAAUUCCUGCUCUGCUGCCUAGUAGUUAUGCGACCUUAAGUAAACAACUUAAUUUUUUCAAAAAGGUUGGUGAGAUUAUGGGACAAUAUGAUACAGUGCCAGGCAUGAAGCACUCAAUAAAUGGUAGCUAUUAUUAUUUUUCCAUACUUUCUUCAAAUAUCUAAAUUCUAACCAAGCUGGAUUGUCUUCUUUUACUCCUUCCUCCCCUCCCACCUUCUUCUUUAAUAUUUGGAUCCACUGCUUCUCAACUCUUUUAGGAUCAAAAAUCCAUUUCUAAAUGUGACUAAAAAAAAAAAAAGACUAUGUACCCAGAAAAAUGCAUAUUUGCAUAGAGACCUUUCACAUAUGUUAGAGUUUCUACCCCCUGAAGCCCAUUCAGAUUAAUAAUGGGAUGAGAAUCCCUCCUUUAAGACAAGUUACACCUAAGCUAAUGCUGAAUCUUUUAUACAAAAAGGACUGAAAUAAGCUUCAGUUGCAUCUCAGAAGAAAUAUAAACUCACUAUCCUAGAGUUGAAAGAAAUGAAAGGAAUGAAGAAAGAUGGGGAGGAGGCCACAGAAAUUUGUUUCUACCUCACUUCUCCCCUUCUCCAUAUCAGAACCAUUAAUGCCACGGCAGGCCUUACCCUUAAAAAGAAAGCAGAACAGAGGUUAUGGUGGCUACCUAGAAAAGGGUUAACACAGCAGGCCUGAGACUACUGUCCUUAAAAAGGCCUGCCUGUCUUUGGCUGGUAUCUGAAAACUUAACUGGUAAACAGUUCCCUACACUGAUAUAAACCUUUCCUUAUAUAACAGUGGCUCACUACUGAAGUAAUGUGGUUUAAUUAUAACAUAUGCUUUCCUUUUGGGAGUAUGAAAUAAUUUUGGUACAUGAGGGUGCCGAAAUGACUAACCUCCGAUGAAAACCUUAGGAGCUGAGUCUCUAACAAGCAGCUUGUUGCUGGAGGAAUUAAAUGUGCCCAGUAGAGUCUACUGGGAAUGAACUAGUGGAAAAACGUGAGCCUGGUUU